rnacentral:lncRNA from 1 species
CUUAACCUUCCGAGCCCUAGCUCUCAGGCGAUUUAGGCGACCCUACCGCCGGUGCUUCCUUCUCAUCAUCGGUGAUGUGUUCACCUCCGUCAACCAAUUUGUGAUUUUAUAUUCUAGUUCUAGAUUUUCGUUAUGAAUUUGGUUUUGAUUUGUUGAAGGUUAGUCCACAGACUCGCAAAAUGAGAGCUGCCUCUAAAAGAAGGGGUACUGAAAUCAAAUGACAUCUAUAUCAAUGCAGAUAAGGCAUCCGUACAUCGAAAAAAAUGUGUUAGUGCUAUCGUUCCUUUUCAUCUACAGAUUUCGUCGAGAAUCAUUUAACACCUUUCUCCCUGUUCCCAAUUUCACUUGACAUUUGGAUGUCGUGACUGAUCUCUGCAAAUCUGAUUUCGUGAUUUAGAGUGAGGAUAUUUCUAAUGACGUGAUUUUUUAGAAUAUGCUUACUGGAUUUCCUUCUUACUUAAUAUACAUGCAUAUCUCUGUCUUGUGUGAUUUCAGAAGCCCCAACUACAGUAUUAUGUUCGAUUUUGUAUUUGUUGAGCUAAGGGUUAAAUUAGGACUCAUAGGGAGCAAAUUUGUACUAACCAUGUUUCAUUUUUAGGCUUGAACAGCCUUGUUAGGGGAGAACCUUCUUUCCAAAAAAAGAGAUAUGUUUCAUUUUAGGCCGGCUAUUGCAAAAUUCCGUCAUAUUGAAUUUCACAGAGCUAGAUUAAUUUAGUUCAUUGAUCUUUACCAUGUUCAAG